rnacentral:rRNA from 1 species
GACGAACGCUGGCGGCGUGCCUAACACAUGCAAGUGGAGCGACGAACCAGGCUUCGGCCUGGGGCAGAGCCGCGAACGGGUGAGUAACACGUGGGUAACCUGCCCUGAUGAUUGGGACAACCCGAGGAAACUCGGGCUAAUACCAAAUGUGCCCUCCGACCAUAAGGUCGCUGGGGAAAGGAAGCUUCGGCCUCCGCAUCGGGAUGGGCCCGCGGCCCAUUAGCUUGUUGGUGAGGUAANGGCUCACCAAGGCAACGAUGGGUAGCUGGUCUGAGAGGACGAUCAGCCACACUGGGACUGAGACACGGCCCAGACUCCUACGGGAGGCAGCAGUGGGGAAUCUUGCGCAAUGCGCGAAAGCGUGACGCAGCAACGCCGCGUGGGGGAAGAAG